rnacentral:rRNA from 1 species
UGCCAGCAGCCGCGGUAAUACGGAGGGUGCAAGCGUUGUUCGGAAUCAUUGGGCGUAAAGCGGGUGUAGGCGGCUUGGCAAGUCGAGUGUGAAAUCCCUGGGCCCAACCCAGGAACUGCACUCGAAACUGCCUCGCUAGAGUCCCGGAGAGGGUGGCGGAAUUCCCGGUGUAGGGGUGAAAUUCGUAGAUAUCGGGAGGAACACCAGUGGCGAAGGCGGCCACCUGGACGGUGACUGACGCUCAGACCCGAAAGCGUGGGGAGCAAACAGGAUUAGAUA